AUUGAACGCUGGCGGCAGGCCUAACACAUGCAAGUCGCACGAGUGGCGGACGGGUGAGUAAUGUCUGGGAAACUGCCCGAUGGAGGGGGAUAACUACUGGAAACGGUAGCUAAUACCGCAUACCAUCGGAUGUGCCCAGAUGGGAUUAGCUUGUAGGUGAGGUAACGGCUCACCUAGGCGACGAUCCCUAGCUGGUCUGAGAGGAUGACCAGCCACACUGGAACUGAGACACGGUCCAGACUCCUAUGGUCGGCAGCAGUGGGGAAUGUUGCACAAUGGUGUCAAGCCUGAUGCAGCCAUGCCGCGUGUAUGAAGAAUGCCUUCGGGUUGUAAAGUACUUUCAGCGGGGAGGCGUUACCCGCAGAAGAAGCACCUGCUAACGCCGUGCCAGCAGCCGCUGUAAUUC
rnacentral:rRNA from 1 species